CGCGCAGGCGGAUCAGCAAGUCAGAUGUGAAAUCUCGGGGCUUAACCCCGAAACUGCGUCUGAAACUACUAAUCUAGAAUAUCGGAGAGGAAGAUGGAAUUUCGCAUGUAGGGGUAAAAUCCGUAGAGAUGCGAAGGAACACCAGAGGCGAAAGCGAUUUUCUGGACGAUUAUUGACGCUGAGGCGCGAAAGCGUGGGAGCAAACA
rnacentral:rRNA from 1 species